UUGGUUCUACAGAAUGGGUUCCAGAUGACUUUGGGUCUCAGAUGACUGUGUGGUUUCGAAUUCAAGCCGAAGCUUUGAACCUGUGCUCCGUGACACACAGCCAACCAGUCGUGUUUGCAUCAUUUGCAUCAUAACAUGUUUAUUUUCAAAAAAAUAAAUAAAUAAUGCAAUAAAAAAAAUGAAAAAAGAAAAAAGAAAAAAGCUAAUAUCCUCAUGCAUAUUGUAAGACCCCACUUUUG
rnacentral:lncRNA from 1 species